UACGUAGGGUCCGAGCGUUGUCCGGAUUUAUUGGGCGUAAAGAGCUCGUAGGCGGUUUGGUAAGUCGGGUGUGAAAUCUCCACGCUCAACGUGGAGGGGCCACUCGAUACUGCCAUGACUCGAGUCCGGUAGAGGAGUGUGGAAUUCCGGGUGUAGUGGUGAAAUGCGUAGAGAUCCGGAGGAACACCAGUGGCGAAGGCGACCCGCUGGGCCGUACCUGACACUGAACCGCGACAGCAUGGGGAGCAAACAGG
rnacentral:rRNA from 1 species